rnacentral:rRNA from 1 species
GAGACCCGCGUCCUCUGUUGCUACCAGCCUUGAGCUGGGCACACUGAGGAGACCGCCGCUGAUAAAGCGGAGGAAGGAGCGGGCCACGGCAGGUCAGUAUGCCCCGAAUCUCCCGGGCCACACGCGAGCUGCAAUGGCAGGUACAAUGGGUUCCGACCUCGAAAGGGGAAGGCAAUCUCGAAAGCCUGCCGUAGUUGGGAUUGAGGGUUGUAACCCAUCCUCAUGAACAUGGAAUCCCUAGUAAUCGCGUGUCACUAGCGCGCGGUGAAUAC